GAGGAGCAGAGCCUGGACAGACAAAACACUAGUGCUUUUUCAGACACCACUCAGGUCCUCAAGCACUGGUUUCCUGAUGCCAUACAUGAAACAGAAGGCUGAUUUUGGAAACUGCAUGCUCAGGAAUCAAGCCAAAUAGUUUGUAUUCAGGGUUAUGAUGCUGGAGAAUCCAAAGGCAGUGAGACCCCAGGCAGCCUGCCAAACCGUUUAGUCUUAGCGCUCCACCAGCAAGCACUAUGGAAAUGACCCUUAGUUGUAAAGGAAGAACCGCGUACCCACUCUCAGGAGAGGAACUUUGGACCCGAGAGCCAGAAGCAACCUGUAACUCACCUUUCCUUGCUGGGCACAUCCUCGGGGUCCCACCAGCACCAUUUCCAACCCCAGCUCUAAGCCUGGGAGUGCCAAACUGCAGGUGGGCAGUGUCAGGGCUCCUUGUCCUCUAGCGACCGUUACCUCUACUGACAAUUCAGAUCCCAUCCUCUGCCUCCCGAUGGCAAACCGUUCUGUCUGCACUGCUCAUGACCAUCUGUGAGCCUAAUCUGGUCCUCCUUUCUUUCUCAGAAAGCUCAAGGGCCUUACAGAGGGUGGUGUUUCUCUCUCAAAGUCUCCCAUAUCCUUCCCUGCUCCCUAUCAGCAGCCCUUGAAGUCAAUCAGCCAAAUGCACUAUGAGUCAGAUAAUUGGCUGUAAAUUAUCUCCCCUCUGUCCUCCUUUUAGCCCCCCUUUAUCUUACGCGAUCUGGCUUUAGACAAGAUUUCCCCUCAGGGGUGCACAAAAGGAGGGAGAGGCUCCGAUCAAAGAAAAAUGUGGCAUAUUCAGAGAACACUCGAGAGAGACAGGUUUCUGGGAUGGGCAGAGCCUGCCCUCCAAAGGACCCCUCUUUUAUACCCUCCACUGAUGACCACUGGCCCUGCCCUCCAGAUGCCAAACAUCGUGGAAGCCUGAUUCUGGAAGACAAAAUGCCCAGUCCUCAAACAAACUGCGUGUGCUUCAGAGUUCUGCCUCUGGAGGAUCAAAAGGCAGUCUGAACCUCACAUAUCUGUCCUUUAAGGUGGGCUUUGGGCUAGCUGUGCCACUUGAAAGUGACCCAGAUGUGGGAAGGUGGAACAAGUUUCCUUUCACCAGGUCAUUGAGCUGAACCCACUCCAAGUCAUGUGAUCAGAUUUCAAUGAGUCAGCCUCCCCAUCUUCAUUUCUGUCACUCGGGUCGAGAUGCAGCCUCUGCAGAAUCCAAAGGCAGUCAGAACUCUUCACGGACUGUCCAG